rnacentral:lncRNA from 1 species
GAAAAGUCUCAAAUGCUGCUGGCUGAAGGGAAAAAGGCAAUCAACUGGUGAUGAUUUAGGGCCUGACUAGCCAGGAUGGGAAAAGGCUCUCACCUCUCUUCCUCGUCACUGCCUCCUUUUCAGAUGCACUAGGGUGGCAGGCAGGAGGGUAGGAAGAACUGAAACCCAGGCCCCCUCCUUCUCGUCCGUGGUCUCAGGGACUACCUCUGGUAACAGCUUCCGGCAUAUCCUUCCAGAACGUCUCUUCAGAGGUGAGUAU